UACGUAGGGUGCGAGCGUUAAUCGGAAUUACUGGGCGUAAAGUGUGCGCAGGCGGCAGAGCAAGUCGAGUGUGAAAGCCCCGGGCUUAACUUGGGAAUUGCGCUCGAAACUACUUUGCUGGAGUGUGGCAGAGGAAGGUGGAAUUCCACGUGUAGCGGUGAAAUGCGUAGAUAUCAGGAGGAACACCGGUGGUGUAGACGGCUGACUGGACCACGACUGACGCUGAGGCACGAAAGCGUGGGUAGCAAACAGG
rnacentral:rRNA from 1 species